rnacentral:rRNA from 1 species
AACGAACGCUGGCGGCAGGCCUAAUACAUGCAAGUCGAACGCACUCUUCGGAGUGAGUGGCAGACGGGUGAGUAACGCGUGGGAACCUUCCCAAUGGUACGGAAUAACUCCGGGAAACCGGUGCUAAUACCGUAUAAGCCCCUCGGGGGAAAGAUUUAUCGCCAUUGGAUGGGCCCGCGUCGGAUUAGCUAGUUGGUAAGGUAAUGGCUUACCAAGGCUACGAUCCGUAGCUGGUCUGAGAGGAUGAUCAGCCACACUGGGACUGAGACACGGCCCAGACUCCUACGGGAGGCAGCAGUAGGGAAUCUUGGACAAUGGGCGAAAGCCUGAUCCAGCCAUGCCGCGUGAGUGAAGAAGGCCUUAGGGUUGUAAAGCUCUUUUGGCGGGGACGAUAAUGACGGUACCCGCAGAAUAAGCCCCGGCUAACUUCGUG